GUCUACGGCCAUACCACCGUGAACAUGCCUGAUCUCAUCUGAUCGCAGAAGCUAAGCAGGAUCGGGCCUGGUUAGCACUUGGAUGGGAGGAUACAUAUUCCUUGGUGAAGCUGUAUCAA
rfam:Mesocricetus auratus contig111611, whole genome shotgun sequence.